GGUGGUGUAGCUCAGGGCUACAGUACUUGCCUGUGGUACAUGGGACCCUGGGUUUGAUCCCAGCACCACAA
rnacentral:tRNA from 1 species